rnacentral:rRNA from 1 species
UACGGGGGGGGCAAGCGUUGUUCGGAAUUACUGGGCGUAAAGGGCUCGUAGGCGGCCAACUAAGUCAGACGUGAAAUCCCCAGGCUCAACUUGGGAACUGCGUCUGAUACUGGAUGGCUUGAGUUCGGGAGAGGGAUGCAGAAUUCCAGGUGUAGCGGUGAAAUGCGUAGAUAUCUGGAGGAAUACCGGUGGCGAAGGCGGCAUCCUGGACCGAUAUUGACACUGAGGAGCGAAAGCCAGGGGAGCAAACGGG